rnacentral:rRNA from 1 species
UACAGAGGUCCCAAGCGUUUGUUCGGAUUCACUGGGCGUAAAGGGUGCGUAGGUGGUCGGGUAAGUUUGAUGUGAAAGCUCCGAGCUUAACUCGGAAAUUGCAUUGAAUACUAUUCGGCUAGAGGGUUGGAGGGGGGACUGGAAUUCUCGGUGUAGCAGUGAAAUGCGUAGAUAUCGAGAGGAACACCAGUGGCGAAGGCGAGUCCCUGGACAACUCCUGACACUGAGGCACGAAAGCUAGGGGAGCAAACAGG